rnacentral:rRNA from 1 species
AGCGAAUGGAUUGAGAGCUUGCUCUCAAGAAGUUAGCGGCGGACGGGUGAGUAACACGUGGGUAACCUGCCCAUAAGACUGGGAUAACUCCGGGAAACCGGGGCUAAUACCGGAUAAUAUUUUGAACUGCAUGGUUCGAAAUUGAAAGGCGGCUUCGGCUGUCACUUAUGGAUGGACCCGCGUCGCAUUAGCUAGUUGGUGAGGUAACGGCUCACCAAGGCAACGAUGCGUAGCCGACCUGAGAGGGUGAUCGGCCACACUGGGACUGAGACACGGCCCAGACUCCUACGGGAGGCAGCAGUAGGGAAUCUUCCGCAAUGGACGAAAGUCUGACGGAGCAACGCCGCGUGAGUGAUGAAGGCUUUCGGGUCGUAAAACUCUGUUGUUAGGGAAGAACAAGUGCUAGUUGAAUAAGCUGGCACCUUGACGGUACCUAACCAGAAAGCCACGGCUAACUACGUGCCAGCAGCCGCGGUAAUACGUAGGUGGCAAGCGUUAUCCGGAAUUAUUGGGCGUAAAGCGCGCGCAGGUGGUUUCUUAAGUCUGAUGUGAAAGCCCACGGCUCAACCGUGGAGGGUCAUUGGAAACUGGGAGACUUGAGUGCAGAAGAGGAAAGUGGAAUUCCAUGUG